rnacentral:rRNA from 1 species
UGGGGAAUUUUGGACAAUGGGGGAAACCCUGAUCCAGCCAUUCCGCGUGAGUGAAGAAGGCCUUCGGGUUGUAAAGCUCUUUCGGCAGGAACGAAACGGUUUUAGCUAACAUCUAAAACUACUGACGGUACCUGAAGAAGAAGCACCGGCUAACUACGUGCCAGCAGCCGCGGUAAUACGUAGGGUGCGAGCGUUAAUCGGAAUUACUGGGCGUAAAGCGUGCGCAGGCGGUUUGUUAAGACAGAUGUGAAAGCCCCGGGCUUAACCUGGGAACUGCGUUUGUUACUGGCAAGCUAGAGUGUGUCAGAGGGAGGUAGAAUUCCACGUGUAGCAGUGAAAUGCGUAGAUAUGUGGAGGAAUACCGAUGGCGAAGGCAGCCUCCUGGGAUAACACUGACGCUCAUGCACGAAAGCGUGGGGAGCAAACAG